rnacentral:tRNA from 1 species
AAAAAGAUAAGCUAACUAAGCUACUGGGCUCAUACCCCAUUUAUAAAGGUUCUAAUCCUUUUCUUUUUAA